rnacentral:lncRNA from 1 species
UGUUUAAGGACUAACUGACAAAUCCUCCUUUAUCGAGUCUAAAUAGUCCUAAGGACUUCACCAUAACACAGGAGUUCAUUAGAAGAUGAAACAUUUGUGAUGAAAAAAUACCAAAAUAACUUUUAUUUAUUUAUAAUUCAUGUACUAAUACAAAAGGAGCACAACCGUCAACAGGCUGACGAUUGGCUUUGGGACACUAUUCCCAACAA